rnacentral:rRNA from 1 species
AGAAUCAACGCUGGCGGCGUGCCUAACACAUGCAAGUCGAACGGGAAAGGGUAGCAAUACCUGAGUAAAGUGGCGCACGGGUGAGUAACACGUGACUAACCUACCCUGGAGUGGGGGAUAACUGAGGGAAACCUUAGCUAAUACCGCAUAACACCUACGGGUCAAAGGAGCAAUUCGCUUCAGGAGGGGGUCGCGGCCGAUUAGUUAGUUGGCGGGGUAAUGGCCCACCAAGACAGUGAUCGGUAUCC